AUGGCCUCCUCCGUGACGGAGAAGGACAUCAAGGAGCUUUGGGAGGCGAGGUAUUUGAUAGCGAAAAUCAAAUACCGACUCCCUGCCAAAGAGCAGGUUAUCCCCACUCCAGAGCCUGGUGAGAGGGUUGUAUUCCUCCCUCACUUUCUCCGCGGACUAGGGUUUAGCCUACACCCCUUUGUUCGAGGUCUCAUGUUCUAUUACGGGCUAGAUUUUCAUGAUCUGGCCCCGAACUCCUUCCUCCACAUCUCGGCGUUUAUCGUCAUGUGUGAGGCAUUCCUCCGCAUCCCUCCACACUUCGGCCUGUGGCUCAAGACUUUUAAUGUGAAGCCGAAGGUGCUCGACGGGCAACACGCAGAUUGUGGUGGUGCCAUGGUGAGCAAGCUUCCCAAAGCUAUCUGGCCCAAAGGGGCAUUUGUGGACACCAUCAAAAUAUGGCAGCAGGAGUGGUUUUAUAUCACCGAGCCCCGCGGCACCAAGUGGGCGGCCGCCCCUGCAUUUAGAUCCGGACCCCCGCCGCGGAUUGCGUCAUGGACCAACAAGGGUCUGGACUGGGGAUCAUCCGACAAGGUGCUGAUGCUGCAGAAGCGCAUCAAAAAUAUCAUAGAGAAGAACACCAGCCUCACAGAUGUGAUCCAGGUGAUGCUCAUCCGCCGGUCCCUUCCCUGCCAACGCCGGCCUCUCUGCAUGUGGGAGUUCAAUCUGGAAGGGCCCUGUACCCUGAAGUGA
rnacentral:rRNA from 1 species